UUAUUUAGAAUGAAUAAUCUUAACUAGGUUAUAGUAUAUGUUACAAGGAUUCCGUACAUAUAAAGAACGUCGAAAUCCGAAUUAUAACGAAGAAGUUAUGACCUGUCGAAGUUUCGCGACAGAACCGGCACGACGCUGAAUGACGUAAAAAGUGAAUUUAUGUUAGAGCGAUAUUUAGCCUUAGCGAUCUAAACGAAAGUCAUAGAUUUCGUUAAACCGAGAGCGUGCAUAAAAGAAACGCCCAAAUCUGACUUCGUAUGAGGAAGUUAUGAUUUUUCUAAGUUUCGACUUAGCGGUAUGCAGCCCGAAUACUCGAUUUGGGAUCGAGCGGUUUUUAGCCGAAACAAUCUAAACGAGAAUCGAAGAUCUCAUUGUUAGUAGCGAAACGAUGAAAAGUUAGGCGAGAACGGACGUCAGACGAAGAAGUUAUGAAUUUAUAACGAAGUUUUUCUGUCCCGGCCUUCUAAAAAUAAAUAAUAAAAAUAAAAGUCAAAAUUAGCCGACGGAGUCUAAAUGAAAGUUGUAGAGUAUGGUCUGACCUUCGCGUGGAUAUAAAGAACGUCGAAAACGGAGCUCGUAUGCGAAAGUUACGCAAUUUAGAAGUUCGACGAGUCAAUUACGCCCCGCGUAAUUGAGUACGCCCCGCGUACUCAGUCGGAUGCAACUUGUCUGACCAAUACUCGAGUGCCACAGAUCGACGCAUGCAGUGACGUCAAAGUACGCCCCGCGUAACCGAGUACGCCCCGCGUACUGAGUACGCCCUGCGUAAUUUGAGAUUACGCCCCGCGUAAUCCCAGACCCUCAGCCUAUAAAUAGAACUCGAAAUCAGCCAUUUUCUCUUGUUCAAACUCUUCCCUCUCUCUAAGUUUUGCCUCGAUUUGCGUGCCAAUCAUAUCCCGAAGCCCCGGUAUCAUUCCCGAGCCCCGAAGCAAGAUCCGAAGCCCCGAGGAUCCCGAAGAGCGUUAUUCCCGAGCCGAAGCUCUGCCCGCGAGGAGUUCGAUUUUGGUGAAGAUCUUCCAGAUCUAUCGAAGUAUACUACUUCUAUAAGCCGUAGUGCUGUCGGAUCAUCUUCUGAUCAAGUGAGUGUGUAGUUAUUUUCUUUCCAACGCAAUAUUAUGAAGUAUUUAAUAUAAAAUACGUGCUACGUGUAUAUAUUUUGUGGUUAUAUGUGUGAAUGUAUAUUCACUCUCUUCUAUCUCAUAGAUCUGAUAUAUUCUCUAUGAAAUACGUGUUAUGUGUGUAUGCCUCAUCUGUUAUGUGGAAUAUGUAUUGAUUAAAGCAUGCUAUACAGGUUUUUAAACAAUGUAUAAAAAUGUAUAUUUUUAUCUACUAAUAUGUUGGGUAGAACAUGGGUAGAUAAUUGGUGUGAAAUAAACAGAUGAGAGGCCUCGGUGUUAUUGGUGUUAUUCUAGUCAUUCAGCAGAGUAUGGAUGACGACCACGGACUAUUCUAGACUGUCCUGUGGAACACUAGCAGGCUCAUUACCUGUAGGUGUUGUGAACGACGUGUUCACCGGUGUACUCUAUCCCCCACAUGGUUGCCUUUAGGACACUUAUUGUUGAGGAAGCCCCUCUGCAGUAAUGUCCGUCCCGAUGAAAAUCCUGAAAUAAGUUCCUUAUAAUAGACGUUAUUUUUAGGAACGUAAGGUGAGGAUAACGGGAAUGGGUAAUCGGGUUUAUUGUUGAUUGAUGAAAUUAAAUAUAAUUAUUGUGGGUUUGAAAACCCUAUAUGCUCACCAGGCUCCCAAGCCUGACCCACUCAGUUGAUUUGUAUUACAGGAAGUGGCGCAAGAGCUUAAGAUGGGCGAAUCAUCAAGUCAUUUUUGUUUACAAGUCUGCAUAUGUAUAUAUUUGUUGAACGACUUGUAAUAUCAUCGUUUAUGCUUUAUGAUCUAUAUCGGAACAUGACAUCCCGACUUUUGAUUAUGAAAUGAAAUCAUAUUUCUAUAUGAAAUGUUUUGAUAAAUAUCUAUUUUAUCAUGUUUUGUUUUUGGGAACAAAUUCCGCAUCUCUUUUAAAAUCAAACGGAUUUACUCUGAAAAUGUUUUAAAAAGCAUAAAUGAAAUCGGUCUUUUCUGGCCGAGAUUUUGGGGAUGUCACAGUUGGUAUCAGAGCAUUAGUUUAAGCGAACUAGGAAUUUGUAGGAUUUCUAGACUUAAACUUAAGAUGCUAAGUGGAGAUUGUGAGAUGUGAGUCUGAUAAAUUUUAGACACGAGCACUAGUUUAUUUUAGGAAAGUUGCCUAAAAUGCUUUUAUGUGCUAAAUGUUAUAUGUUGCCAUAUAUGAUAUUAUUUGUUCGGAUCUACGGUUUGUUGCCAACCAGAUCUGAAGGUUUAUGUGUUUAGGAUUCUAAGCGUAUGUAUACGAUAUUAGAACUAGCAUGUAAUCGUUUGGAGUAAUAAGGUGAAAUUAUUCGGUGUGUAGAUCAAAAAUGGUGAGAACAAGAAGCGGAGUUGGAAAUGCUGAUGAAAACAGGAAUCAACCGCCUGUAAUUCAACAAGUACCUGUCGUAGCUGAUGCACCUGAGCCGAUAACAAUGGCUGGUGUACAAAUGAUGAUCCAAAUGAUGUUGGAUCGUCAGAUGGAAGAAACAAGACGCCUGCUUAGGCAGAAUCGUGAAGAACCGUCAAUUCAAGCAGAAGAGCCCGAGGAGAAUGGAGGGCAGUCUGAAGGAGAAAACUUUAGUGGGAUCAUUGGUCAAGUCGAACAACCAGUGGUUAGACGCAAUAACCAGUAUGGAGGAAAUGAUGGUCGUGGGUGCAAGUAUAAGGAUUUCAUGGCAUCCAAACCACCAUGUCUAUCCGGAAGCCCGACGCCGGUGCAAGUUAUGGACUGGGUCUCCGAAAUGGAGACUAUGUUUGAAAGUUGCGAAUGCAGCAACAGGCAGAAGACCGCUCUUGCAAUUCCUCUAUUAAAAUCUGGAGUACUGAGCUGGUGGAAGUUACUGGCCGGUUCGAUGCCCAAGGGGGAAGCUAGCAAGAUGUCUUGGGAGGAGUUCGUGGUACAAUUGAAAAUGCAAUACUGCUCUGAGCAGGAUCUCCUGGAAAUCAACAAUGAGUUCCAGAAUCUGAAGAAGGGAAAAUUGAGCAUCACUGAAUAUGCCACAAGCUUUACGGAAAAGAUGAAGCUUAUUCCAUACCUAGUUCCAACUGAACUUUCCAAGGUCAACAAGUUUGCCAAUGGAUUACCAGCGGACUUUGGUCCGAUAGUCAAGCAAGCAACCACUUUGAAAGCCGCCAUCUGGGCAGCCAAAAAUGUUGAAACCCAAAUAAAAGAAAAGGGUCUGGAGAGAGCUGAAGUUGGAGAGAAAAGGAAACAUGAAGGAUCUUCAAUAAUCAACAAAGAAACCAAAUUCUCGAAAUCUGGAGGAAGAGAUGAAGCUAAGUGGUGCGAGAAGUGUAAAAAGAAACACUUCGGGAAGUGUAGCGAGGAUAUGACUUGCUACAAAUGUGGGAAGACGGGGCAUUACGCCAACAAGUGCGCAUCCAACAAAAAGGUGUGCUACGGAUGUAACGAGGAAGGGCAUAUUUCUAGAGACUGCCCAAAGAAAAACGCACCACCACAGCCAAGGGCAUUCCACAUGAUCCUCGACGAAGCGAAUCAAGAAUGAGGAAUUUAUACCCAAGGAUCAACUUAUGAUGUAGCCAAUUAAAGGCAUAGUAUAGGGUGAACUUGAACUUUUGUGUAAUCAUUUCAAGUUAUAUUGUAAACCCUGGUUUUGAUAUUUAUGUGAUAUUUAUGGUUUUAGUACCUGAUGUGUUAAAUGAUUGUGUGAUUUUUGUAUAGUGACUUGGUUCGACUGAGAGACAAUACUUGGGACGAGUAUGAGUAGGUGUGAAAGGUAGUAGAUGCAUAUACUACCGGAAGCACAGGACUCGCACUUGGAUCAGGGAAAGUCACAAGGUUACCAAGAAGCUAGUGAUUGAUUCCACUUUAUUCUGGUAUGUCAUUACCAUUGUUUCGGUAAUGACUAGUAAGAUGGUUCUUGUUCCGACCCUAGUGGUCAUGUUUAAAUUUGAGUUCGACUACGAGGAGUAUGUUACGUGGUCUAGAGGACCAAGUUAGAUGUAACAUCUGACUUAAGUCAGAAGGUUGAAGUUAAUGCGAUUGAUAGUGUCGCGCUCGUUGUUAAAAGAAGUUUGUAGGCAGAAAUGCUACGUGCUGAAAUGUGAUUAUAUCACAUUAGAAUAUGAAGGAAGGUAUAUUCCAUUUUGGAAUUUAACUCUAAGAGACCAAAGUCUAAGCAUUACAUCAUGCGAUGAGAGGUCAGUAGAGCACGACCCAUCGGUCUGUUACAAUAGAUAAAGGAAAGUAUUUAUCCUGAGAAGAAGAAGGAGUCCUCAAUAAGGACCUAUUUUGUAACUCAAAGGUUACGAUUGAAAGCCCAACAUAGUACGAAGAGCAGGUGCAAGAUUGAGCAUCACUGUGAUUACUUAGGAUGGAAGGAUGACAUAUGGAAUCAUUAUACAAGCCCUAUUUCGUUGAUGAUUCCGGGACGUAAUCAUCCUAAGGGGGAGAUAAUUGUAACGCCCGUAGAUCAGGGCUAGUCAAUUUAAAGACGAUAAGCGUCAAAAAUGAGUUUCUGAUAGAAGAUUAUUUAGAAUGAAUAAUCUUAACUAGGUUAUAGUAUAUGUUACAAGGAUUCCGUACAUAUAAAGAACGUCGAAAUCCGAAUUAUAACGAAGAAGUUAUGACCUGUCGAAGUUUCGCGACAGAACCGGCACGACGCUGAAUGACGUAAAAAGUGAAUUUAUGUUAGAGCGAUAUUUAGCCUUAGCGAUCUAAACGAAAGUCGUAGAUUUCGUUAAACCGAGAGCGUGCAUAAAAGGAACGCCCAAAUCUGACUUCGUAUGAGGAAGUUAUGAUUUUUCUAAGUUUCGACUUAGCGGUAUGCAGCCCGAAUACUCGAUUUGAGAUCGAGCGGUUUUUAGCCGAAACAAUCUAAAUGAGAAUCGAAGAUCUCGUUGUUAGUAGCGAAACGAUGAAAAGUUAGGCGAGAACGGACGUCAAACGAAGAAGUUAUGAAUUUAUAACAAAGUUUUUCUGUCCCAGCCUUCUAAAAAUAAAAGUCAAAAUUAGCCGACAGAGUCUAAAUGAAAGUUAUAGAGUUUGGUCUGACCUUCGCGUGGAUAUAAAGAACGUCGAAAACGGAGCUCGUAUGCGAAAGUUACGCAAUUU
rnacentral:lncRNA from 1 species